CCGCCCCUCUGGCAGGGACAGAGUCCUCUUGCUAGGCUCUUGGUGGGGGCUGCGAUCCCCGGCCUGCCGGAAGCCUCCCCACAGGGUUUUUCCCCUCUGCCGCCUUAGACUGGUAGAAUCAUAGGAUCAUUAGGUUUAAGAAGGAUCUUCGGGCCCAACCGUCAACCCAGCACUACCGUACCCUCCAAACCGUGACCCGAAGUGCCAUGGGUACAUGGUUUUGAGCAGCUCUGAGAUGGUGACUCCAGCACCUCCCUGGGCAGCCUGUUCCAACCCUCGUCGUUGGUCCCUUCUGGCAGCAGGAUGUGAACAUGAGGUUCCUCAAUGCAUCUUUCAGCCUGCUGACUCAGCAAAGUGUCUAUAGACAGCACUAGCACACAGCACUCUGUGAGCAGCUCUAUAAAACCAGGAGAAAAGCAGCAUUUGUAAAUGGACAGAAGUGCCACCUGGAAAACAAACAGACCACCAUGGAAGGCGGCAGGGAGUCCAGAGCAAAAAAGGGAGCAAUUUCAUGGUUGUGUGGACACUCUGAAUAAUGAGGAAAAGCUUGAAAUGUCUUCAAUGGAAAAAAUACAGAAAUUAUUGUCAUAGACAAACUAGAAAAUACC